AUAAUUUUGUAAUUUCAUGAUAAUAUGAAUUAUAGAUUGAAUUGGAUACUUGAGGUUAUUUGAUGUACUUAAUUGAAUGAAAUUAUUUAUUUAGAUCAAGAUAAGCAACAACUGGACUUAAAUCGGGGAAAAAUAAAAGCUUUGGAUUAGUCUCCAACUCUACUUUUGCGACUAUAGUUAUCGAGGUAAGUUCGUAUGAAUUAUUUACUCUUAGGGAAGAAUCGGUUAUCAUGGGUUUAAGUUAAAAUGGUUACAUUUAAAGUUACGAGCUUAAGGACUAAGUUGUGAAAAAGUUAAAAUAGAAAGGAUAAUUUUGUAAUUUCAUGAUAAUAUGAAUUAUAGAUUGAAUUGGAUACUUGAGGUUAUUUGAAGUACUUAAUUGAAUGAAAUUAUUUAUUUAGAUCAAAAUAAGCAACAACUGGACUUAAAUCGGGGAAAAAUAAAAGCUUUGGAUUAGUCUCCAACUCUACUUUUGCGACUAUAGUUAUCGAGAUAAGUUCGUAUGAAUUAUUUACUCUUAGGGAAGAAUCGGUUCUCAUGGGUUUAAGUUAAAAUGGUUACAUUUAAAGUUACGAGCUUAAGGACUAAGUUGUGAAAAAGUUAAAAUAGGAAGGAUAAUUUUGUAAUUUCAUGAUAAUAUGAAUUAUAGAUUGAAUUGGAUACUUGAGGUUAUUUGAUGUACUUAAUUGAAUGAAAUUAUUUAUUUAGAUCAAGAUAAGCAACAACUGGACUUAAAUCGGGGAAAAAUAAAAGCUUUGGAUUAGUCUCCAACUCUACUUUUGCGACUAUAGUUAUCGAGGUAAGUUCGUAUGAAUUAUUUACUCUUAGGGAAGAAUCGGUUAUCAUGGGUUUAAGUUAAAAUGGUUACAUUUAAAGUUACGAGCUUAAGGACUAAGUUGUGAAAAAGUUAAAAUAGAAAGGAUAAUUUUGUAAUUUCAUGAUAAUAUGAAUUAUAGAUUGAAUUGGAUACUUGAGGUUAUUUGAAGUACUUAAUUGAAUGAAAUUAUUUAUUUAGAUCAAGAUAAGCAACAACUGGACUUAAAUCGGGGAAAAAUAAAAGCUUUGGAUUAGUCUCCAACUCUACUUUUGCGACUAUAGUUAUCGAGGUAAGUUCGUAUGAAUUAUUUACUCUUAGGGUAGAAUCGGUUAUCAUGGGUUUAAGUUAAAAUGGUUAAAUUUAAAGUUACGAGCUUAAGGACUAAGUUGUGAAAAAGUUAAAAUAGGAAGGAUAAUUUUGUAAUUUCAUGAUAAUAUGAAUUAUAGAUUGAAUUGAAUACUUGAGGUUAUUUGAAGUACUUAAUUGAAUGAAAUUAUUUAUUUAUAUCAAAAUAAGCAACAACUGGACUUAAAUCGUGGAAAAAUAAAAGCUUUG